rnacentral:rRNA from 1 species
CUCAGGAUAGCUGGAACUUUAACGAAUAGUUUUAUCAGGUAAAGCGAAUGAUUAGAAGCUCUGGGGAUGAAACAUCCUCGACUUAUUCUCAAACUUUAAAUAGGUAAGAUGACUGUAGUACUUAAUUUGACUAUUAGUCUCUUGAAUAGUAAGUUCUUAGUGGGCCAUUUUUGGUAAGCAGAACUGGCGAUGUGGGAUGAACCAAACGUAAAGUUAAAGUGCCUAAAAGUACGUUCAUCAGAUACCACAAAAGGUGUUGAUUCAUCUUGACAGUUGGACAGUGGCCAUGGAAGUCGGAAUCUGCUAAGGAGUGUGUAACAACUCACCAACCGAAUGAAUUAGCCCUGAAAAUGGAUGGCGCUUAAACGUAUUACUUAUACUUUACGUUACGAAUAAAUAGCUAAAAUUACU